UGCAGAGAAUCAGCACAAACCUGGGUCAGUCCAACAGCUCAGGAGCACCUGUGCUUGGGGGAAGGGCGUCCCAGGGAGAUAGAAGUGAGCAAGCAUCCCGGAAAGGGAGGCAUCGGUUCUCCAAAGGUGAAACCACUUUCCACUGACCAGGCAUUAUUUCCAGUUCCCCAGAAGGAGUUCUGGCAUGAAAAAUAAGUCUGUAUCCUGCACUGUGAUGGAUAGCUUCUAAUGGAGGUGGAAACGUCUAAGAGGACUUAAAAGGCAAACUGCCCUGGGAGAGGUAACACACGGACACAAUUUGCUGGCAAUGAGGCAGUAGACUGAAAGUAAGCUGCCCACAAGGUAGGGAGAAAGAAAGGGCAAGGAAGGAGGGCUACGGAACACCACAGAGGGGCAAAGGAACGAGGUCCAGGCCACAGACUUCAGAGAAGAAGAAAAUCUUCUUGUUUUAUGACUUUUCCCAAAGCUAGUCCCACAUCCUGAAAACAGAGGAGGAUGCUGAGAGCUGAAAAACCUUCAUGCCGACAGCAUUCGGAGAAAGGAGUACAACGAAGGCUGGACAGAGAAAUUUUGAUUUCCUGGUCCCUCUGAACUUCUUAAAAUCAGUGAUAACUGAAGUUUGUCAAGACGAUCCCAGCAUGUACUCUGAAAUAGAAAAGCCUCAUUUUUAUCUUGACAAAACCUUCCAAGGUGGCUGUGUUGAUUACCUCACUGUGUGCAGGAGGGGCCUUCAGAUCAACAGAGUUCAAUAACCAAGGCAGGACUUGCAGCUCAUCGCUGGUGGAACAAUGAUUUGAACUGAAGCCUAGCACUCUCCAAAGUCAGAGCUCUUCACCACCAAGCACCACCAAAUCUCCUCAAUGUCUUAAAGAGUGUUCCUCUGUACGGAGGGGACAUGCUAACUGUUAACCAGAGCAUUUGUUGAACAACUAAUGGAAGGAAGGAAGGAAGGAAGAAGGAAGGAAG
rnacentral:lncRNA from 1 species